UACCAUUUUUGCUCCGGAGGGAGUGAGCUGA
rnacentral:piRNA from 1 species